GGCUUCUUCCACACACCGCGCCGCAAACUGCGAUUUAAUUUGCUUGUCACGUCAAAUCAGACUCUUUGGUUUUUAAUACUGGGUUGAGAAUGAGACGCGUGCUGCGGAUUUCCAGGGAGUGAGAAGACUUAAAGCGCGUUGUGGAGCUUGGAUUCAGUAUGGUUCUGGGGAGCGCCUCGCUCCUGAGAGCGGGGCUUGUGUUGUUGCUGGCAGCUCAAGUCUUCCCAUCUGUGUCCGGCUGCAACAGAGGUAACUAUGAAACGAUCAUCCAUGAACUCUGCCUUGCUAAGUUCAAGUUCAACAUGGAAGGACUGGAUCGAGGUUUGUGGUGCAGCUGGCCGGACACAACAGAGAUCUACGAAGGACUUACAAACUGCACCUACCAGGUAGCCUUGAGGAUGGACUGCUUCUGGCCCAAUCUGGUAGUCGACAGCUUCUUCAUGCAUAUUCACCAGGUCUACUUCCACGACUGUGCCCUGACCGGCCGGCUCCUCCACGACCCCCCGAUCAGCAUCUUGGUGCCAUUCAUCGCCGUGCCGGUGCUGAUAACCCUGCUCAUCACCACCGUGGUGGUGUGGAGGAGUAAACGCACAGGAGGGGUGCUGUAGGGGGAGACAGGGUGCUGGAUUUGACCUCUGGAGUCAAGCAGAGAGCCAAAUAGUAUGCCAAGAAGGAUUUUGUGAAGGUCACAGAUGAAGAAGAACCACGGGGUGUCCACCAAGAAGUUAAGAACAUCCUUUGUUGUUUUUCUUUUUGUUUUUUGUUUUUUUGUUUUUUUUUACAGAAUCGAGGAGCAUUUUACUUGUUAAAUUUUUAAACAUUUCUCAUCAAUUUACAUGAAGUAUUAAAGGGAAUUCACAGGUUUUUUGUUUAUCUGAUGAUCUGCUAAAGAAGUUCAUUUAAUGUAAUUACACAUUUCCCUUUAUUGCACCGUUUUAUGCAAUAACCUUGCCAGUCAAAUUUUACCUUCUGUUCAGACUGAAAUCUACAAAAGCUCAACACAAAAAGAGUUCAGCCAAACUAAGCUUACUUUUACAGACAGUUUCUUGAAGAUGUUUCACUGUCAUCCAAGAUGAGCUUCUUUAGUUCUGUUGGAGAUAGUAUGAGAGUUCAUUUAAGUAACCUGAUAUUCUAGAGUAUACAACAUUAUUGAAUCUUAACUCAUGUGAUGUCCUUCUUAAUUAUUGUCACUUGUUGAUGCAGUUCAGUGCUGUGAGGACUGCAAUUAGCUCUACAUUAUGAAACCAAUAUAACACUCAACAGAUGGAUGGCUCAACACAGAAGAACCAACUUAUCAGGCCAGAACUCGGCUCAUUUCCUGCAUUCCAAUGAUAAAAGACCCACCUUUGAGAAUCAUGACGUUAAAAUCUUGAACAGAGAAGACAAAUGGUUUGGGAAACCUUCACUGAAAAGAGGAGGUUGACUGCUCCCUUUUUACACGUAAAUAGAUACAUUUUCAAACACUGGUGUCCUCAUUCUCUCAUGUAUCCUUUCUGUUGGUAUGGUUUUUGGGAAAAACAUCGACCAGCGGAUAAUGAUGAUUUCACUUCCUAGUUCUGACACUUCCUAUUUGGACAACAGUAAACAUGGCAACAGUGCAGGAGAUCAUAAUAAUGUAUAUUCUCAGAAAGAGACACAAAUAGCAGUGCGGUAAACAGCAACAAUCUGUGCACCCAUGAAAUACACAGCUUCUUUUUUCUUCUUUGUUCCUUCUGCUGGUCGCACGUCAGCUAUGCUGUGUUACACUGUCCCCAUAGUUUCUGGUGGUACAGCUUCAUUUGCUACGUUGGGCUAUGCAUCUGUAAAAAUGUCUGAAAAUGGAAGUUUUGCACAUAAAUUAAGUAGAAGAUGAAUGAAAGGCUCUGUAUCUGUUUUUAUGGAAGAGCAGUGAUUCCCGAACUGGGGUGGGCUCACUGCUAGCAAAACAUGGACAAAUACGCAGGGCACUUUAUUGUAAAUGUCGGGUUGCAUGUGGUCAUGAUGGUGGGAUAGAGGGGUUUGACACUAUUGUGGUCAAUGAAAAGGGGGCCCUGCAGAAAAAGUUUGGUAAGCAUUAGUGCAGAGCAUGAAUAAGCCUUAAGGGCUGGGAUAUACUCACUGUUAGCGACAUGCCUGUGAACUUAUCAUGGUUGCUAAGCAUUCCUGGUGUUCAUUUGGCAUGUAGACUGCUCACGUUGACACGAGGUAACAUGGCGCGUGUCCGAUUUGCUAUAUUGACUCAAACACUAUGUACUCAUGUGAACAAGAACAUAAACAAGAUAGGUCAGAGGUAAACACAAUGGCGGAUAGUUUUGAAGACCAUCUCUUAGACCUUGCCUACAACUACCGCCAUCUGUAUGAGUUUUUUCUCCCCAUUGCAUACUUGUACCUUAACAGUUGGCAACACAUUGGAACUGUUUUGGGGGUUGAUACCCCAGAUUUACAAUAUGACCAGCAGAUUGACCUUUUGACUAUUUGAGAGUCCAAGUGCUGUGUACUGCCCCUCCAGUAUUAUGCGUUUUGAUCAUGCUGUGCUUCCGUAGUUUGCACAAAUGUAGCAGAACACUGACGUCUAAGGGUGUCCAUUAAAAAGUGAUAAUGGACACUUAUGAAAGAAGUUCCGUUCAAAUAGACUUAUUGUUGUAAAUUAUUGCGCCGACUAAACAGUAGUUGGUAACCGUGGCAUCAGCUGCAGGGCUGCAGACACGCCAGAUCAUGUCUGUGACGCGCAUUGCUGUGAAGGCAGCUUGCAGGUUUAUUGGGCUCCGUCAGUCCAGGAGAGACGAGAAUGGAGCAACAUUCUGUCGUCCCGGAGCGUCCCAACCAGCAGUGGUCAGGGUUCACAAACGUUAAAUCUCCGUCCUUCAAACACCACUAUGGACAUGCCAGUAUCUUUACAAAAUGUCACAAUCAACGACAAUGUUGCAUUUAAUUUUAAAUAGGUGUCGCCUGUCUUUCUGUCUUGAUUACCUUACUUACAUACUUGAUACAGAGUGAAUGGUGGAUAACAUUUCUUGCAAUAAAAAACAAUUUAGGAAACUAUCUGUUGGACUAUCGGUGGACUUUCACUGUUUAAAACAAAAUUUCGCAUCAUCCUCUGUACACACACAAGCUAUAAGAGCUUCACCCGUAACAUAACCACGGCCGACCAAGCUGCAGGGUCUGUGUCAGAGCCGGUUACUUUGGCAACGCAUCACAAGGAACUAGUCCACUCAGCCGCUUCUUAUGAAAAACUUGCGAUUUUAACUGUAAAGAACAACAUUAAUGCAUUAAUAAUUUUUUUUUCUUUCAUAAGUGACCAUGGUAUAAGCGGGAUAAUGCCCAUCGAGGUGUCCAUUUAUCAUAAAUUAAUGGACUUCGCGUCGGACUGUUCAUGCCUCUGCGUAGUCCAUUAAUUUAUGAUAAUGUACACCUCGUCGGGCAUUAUCUCUUAUGUAUAUCUGAGCCCUAAGACACCACCUCUUUCCCACCUAUAAUAGCAUCCUAUCAUCCAGGUUAAAAACUUUUCUUUUCUCAUGCGCCUAUGCAUGAAAUCUGCACGGUAACUUUUUUUUAACUUAUCUUGCUUUUAAUCAUUUUAAUGUAAUUUAUUAUUUUAUU